GAAAGAACAACCUAGCUUUAUGAGUAUGAAUAUCAUAAGCAUUGUCACUGCCAUCAUAACAGCACUCACACGCAUACAUAACAUAAUUAACACCAUGAACAUGCCCUUCUACCCAACUCUAAGCUACUUGCAUAGUACUACAUAUAUAAUAUCCUUAUUGAAAUUAAAAAAAAAACAACAGUAACAUCGGAAGAUUAAAAAACAUAGCCUCUUAAUCCUCCCAUCCCCAUGAACCUGCAGUGGUCUCGGUUCAUUGAACCAGCCCAUUUAAAGGAAAAGACCUUAAUUAUUUUUUGCAUAAUAUAUUACAGAUUUUCUUCCUCGAUCAUAGACAAGGGGAGGAAAAUUCAAGGGUCCUGAUCAUGGUGCUUGUUGGCAACAUUGCACUGCUUUCUGACCUCACCCUUUGUGCCAGUGAGAGGGUUGUUCUCUGAGAGCAAGGUAAUGGCUCUAGAGAACUCCUUGAAGAAAUAGUCUUGGCUCUUGGCCAUUUUCUUC
rnacentral:lncRNA from 1 species